rnacentral:rRNA from 1 species
ACACCGGCAGCUCUAAUGGUAGCUGUUUUUAUUGGGCCUAAAGCGUUCGUAGCCGGUUUGGUAAGUCACUGGUGAAAUCCUGUAGCUUAACUAUGGGAACUGCUGGUGAUACUGUUGAACUUGAGGUCGGGAGAGGUUAGCGGUACUCCCAGGGUAGAGGUGAAAUUCUGUAAUCCUGGGAGGACCACCUGUGGCGAAGGCGGCUAACUGGAACGAACCUGACGGUGAGGGACGAAAGCUAGGGGCGCGAACCGGAUUAGAUGCCCGGGUAGUCCUAGCCGUAAACGAUGCGGACUUGGUGUUGGGAUGGCUUUGAGCCGCUCCGGUGCCGAAGGGAAGCUGUUAAGUCCGCCGCCUGGGAAGUACGGUCGCAAGACUGAAACUUAAAUGAAUUGGCGGGG